rnacentral:rRNA from 1 species
AGAGUUUGAUCCUGGCUCAGGAUGAACGCUAGCUACAGGCUUAACACAUGCAAGUCGAGGGGAAACGACAUCGAAAGCUUGCUUUUGAUGGGCGUCGACCGGCGCACGGGUGAGUAACGCGUAUCCAACCUGCCCAUCACUUGGGGAUAACCUUGCGAAAGUAAGACUAAUACCCAAUGAUAUCUCUAGAAGACAUCUGAAAGAGAUUAAAGAUUUAUCGGUGAUGGAUGGGGAUGCGUCUGAUUAGCUUGUUGGCGGGGUAACGGCCCACCAAGGCGACGAUCAGUAGGGGUUCUGAGAGGAAGGUCCCCCACAUUGGAACUGAGACACGGUCCAAACUCCUACGGGAGGCAGCAGUGAGGAAUAUUGGUCAAUGGGCGAGAGCCUGAACCAGCCAAGUAGCGUGCAGGAAGACGGCCCUAUGGGUUGUAAACUGCUUUUAUAAGGGAAUAAAGUGAGCCUCGUGAGGCUUUUUGCAUGUACCUUAUGAAUAAGGACCGGCUAAUUCCGUGCCAGCAGCCGCGGUAAUACGGAAGGUCCGGGCGUUAUCCGGAUUUAUUGGGUUUAAAG